GCUUGCUCUGUGGGAUCAGUGGCGAACGGGUGAGUAACACGUGAGCAACCUGCCCCUGACUCUGGGAUAAGCGCUGGAAACGGCGUCUAAUACUGGAUAUGUGACGUGACCGCAUGGUCUGCGUCUGGAAAGAAUUUCGGUUGGGGAUGGGCUCGCGGCCUAUCAGCUUGUUGGUGAGGUAAUGGCUCACCAAGGCGUCGACGGGUAGCCGGCCUGAGAGGGUGACCGGCCACACUGGGACUGAGACACGGCCCAGACUCCUACGGGAGGCAGCAGUGGGGAAUAUUGCACAAUGGGCGCAAGCCUGAUGCAGCAACGCCGCGUGAGGGACGACGGCCUUCGGGUUGUAAACCUCUUUUAGCAGGGAAGAAGCGAAAGUGACGGUACCUGCAGAAAAAGCGCCGGCUAACUACGUGCCAGCAGCCGCGGUAAUACGUAGGGCGCAAGCGUUAUCCGGAAUUAUUGGGCGUAAAGAGCUCGUAGGCGGUUUGUCGCGUCUGCUGUGAAAUCCGGAGGCUCCACCUCCGGCCUGCAGUGGGUACGGGCAGACUAGAGUGCGGUAGGGGAGAUUGGAAUUCCUGGUGUAGCGGUGGAAUGCGCAGAUAUCAGGAGGAACACCGAUGGCGAAGGCAGAUCUCUGGGCCGUAACUGACGCUGAGGAGCGAAAGGGUGGGGAGCAAACAGGCUUAGAUACCCUGGUAGUCCACCCCGUAAACGUUGGGAACUAGUUGUGGGGUCCAUUCCACGGAUUCCGUGACGCAGCUAACGCAUUAAGUUCCCCGCCUGGGGAGUACGGCCGCAAGGCUAAAACUCAAGGAAUUGACGGGG
rnacentral:rRNA from 1 species